rnacentral:tRNA from 1 species
GGGCCUGUAGCUCAGAUGGUUAGAGCGCGCGCCUGAUAAGCGGGAGGUCAGUAGUUCAACUCUACUCAGGCCCA